UUUUAUGGACGGUCGGACGGGGAGGCUGCAAAGCCUGCCGGCGCUGACCCGGUCCGCCAACCCCGUUCGGUCGUCCACCCUG
rnacentral:antisense_RNA from 2 species